UACAGAGGGGGCAAGCGUUGUUCGGAAUUACUGGGCGUAAAGGGCGCGUAGGCGGCCUGCUAAGUCGAACGUGAAAUCCCUGGGCUCAACCCAGGAACUGCGUCCGAUACUGGUUGGCUUGAAUCCGGGAGAGGGAUGUGGAAUUCCAGGUGUAGCGGUGAAAUGCGUAGAGAUCGGGAGGAACACCUGUGGCGAAGGCGGCCAACUGGGCCGACCCUGACGCUGAGGCGCGAAGGCGUGGGGAGCGAACGGG
rnacentral:rRNA from 1 species